UGGAAUGCAUCAAAAUAGCCUGCGCGGCC
rnacentral:piRNA from 1 species